UAUUGCUUUUGUAUUUAUGUUAGCAAGUAAUUUUUAGAUUAUGAACAAAGUUCUCCGCUGAGGUUGAUGUUUUACUAAUUUUAGAGAUAAUCAUGAAGAGAAAGCAAAAUGUAUCUGUGUUUAAUAAGAGGCAACGCAGUGGAAAGUUUCUCGUUCAUCGACAAUGAAGAAGUUUUGAUGGUAUGCUGUAUACAAGCUGUGGAGUUGUUACCCGGUGGUGGUAUAAUUGACACAGGUUGAGGAGCUGGUUGUAUUUGCUGUAGAGGGUAACCGGGCUGAGAUUGAUGAAUAGAUUGAUCAGAGAUAAUCGUGAAGAGAAAGCAAAAUGUAUCUGUGUAUAAAAAGACACAACGCAGUGGAAAGUUCUUCGUUCAUCGACAAUCAAGAAGCUUUGAUGGUGUGCUGUAUA